AUUCCCGGGACUAGGUUGCGGGAGAAAGCCUGUUGCGUGGAAGAUAAGGCUGCGCGGAGAGUGGAAACAGGGUAGGCUGGAGAUCUAACUGGACUCUCGCUCCUGCUGGCUGGACAUGGAGGAUUUGGAGGAAGGUAAGGAAAGGAGGGAGGGAAGAAUGAAAGGGAGGAGUGAGACCCAGCGAUGGACAGCUGCAUCAGGGACCCAUGACUGGCCUUCAUUCUUCUUUCCCCUUCAGAUGUAAGGUUUAUUGUGGAUGAGACCUUGGACUUUGGGGGGCUGUCACCAUCUGACAGCCGUGAGGAGGAAGACAUAACAGUGUUGGUGACUCCAGAGAAACCCCUUCGACGGGGCCUCUCCCACCGAAGUGACCCAAAUGCAGUGGCACCUGCCCCCCAGGGUGUGAGGCUCAGCCUAGGCCCCCUCAGCCCAGAGAAGCUGGAGGAGAUCCUCGAUGAGGCCAACCGGCUGGCCACUCAGCUGGAGCAGUGUGCCCUACAGGAGCGAGAGAGCGCAGGCGAGGGCCUGGGGCUUCGCCGAGUGAAGCCCAGUCCUCGGCGGGAGACCUUUGUGCUGAAGGACAGUCCUGUCCGAGACCUGCUGCCCACUGUGAACUCUUUGACGCGGAGCACCCCCUCCCCAAGCAGCCUGACGCCUCGACUCCGGAGCAAUGAUAGGAAGGGGUCAGUCAGGGCUCUCCGGGCAACAUCUGGAAAGAGGCCCUCCAACAUGAAGAGG
rnacentral:sRNA from 1 species